GGCUGCUUGACUAAGGGGUACAGCGUCGGACUUGUAAUACGAAGACCGAAAGUUUAAAUCUCUCAGUAGUCU
rnacentral:tRNA from 1 species